UUGGUUCGGGAUGGGGUUGACCGGCCCGAUCUGAAGCCCCACCCACCACGGAAGGGAAAAUGAGAAACACCACCAUGCAAGCUCGGCCGCCGUCUCCCUGUACGAGAGCCGGAAGUAGAAUGACAAGGGCUUGGCUAUGGUCUCAUGCCUCUCCGCCACUGCCGCUUCGCGUCUCAAUUGCACUUCUUCCCUUCAGUUCCAGAACAGCAAGGAUCCAAUACCGAGUAAUAGAAGGAAUCGCGAAAAGCGCCUCGUUUGGACGUCCCCUCCAACUUUAACUUCCAUUCCGAUGUCAAAGAUUCCAGCUUUUCAUGGAUACGAGGUCUCUGCAUUUCAGGUUUUGAGUUUUCGUGAUAGAAGUUCAAUCUCUGUUUAUUUCCGAUUGAGAAAAGUUCAUGAUUAUUUCCCUUUUUUUGGUGGAACCCAAGGGAGCGCGGGGCGGGAAUGUGUUUUGGGGGUGGUCGAAUCAACUUCUCCGGUGACACCAUUUACCUCACCAUUUCAUCGGAUGGCAUUCUUUUGCCCGGGAAGGGUUCGCAUUAAAUGUAAAGAAAAUAACUCCCACUAAAAUGAAAAUUAUAAGUUACUAGGUAUAAUCAGCAUGUAAUCAUCGUGGAGAUCUUCUGUUAUUCUCGUCUUGAUGAAAUUUGGGUAUAAUUAAGCCGGAUAGCUCAAGGCAUCUCCGGUUUCUGGUUUUGUAAUGUCGAAAUUCUUAGCAUUAGUGGCUGACUCCAGAACUUAAGGUAUACUCUCCUAUUUAGUUUUCUUUUGCUCUUUCCUUGAUUUAUGAUUAUUACCUGUGAAAUAUGCCACACUGUAAUAUGCCUUUCUUACUUGUGCAAUUCCAGAAUGUUAAUACAUUGAUCCUUACAAACCUCUGAAUAGUCAAAUCCAAUUCAACAAAUCACACAGUCACUAGUCACUCUUGUGCAAUUCCAGGAGGUUGAUGUUUUAGACUCAUCUUGUUUGUGUUUGAAUGUGAAAUGUCGUCACCUGGCACCUCAAUCUUCAUCCGUACUCCAUAGUCCACAGUAAGAUGUGGGUUGACUUAGAACAUUUAUGUUUCUAAUGUUUUAUUUAUGAUGCAGAAAAAUAUUUUAAAAUUAUUUGGUUUGCAAGACGCAUAUUUUUAUAUUAAACUGAUAUUUUUUUAUUGAUAUGUGAGAUUAGUGAAGCAUAACAGAUGAAAUAAUAUAAAAGAGAAGGAAACUUUAUAGCCUACUGCAAAAUGUGACCUUUUCAUGUGACAUUCUUUGAUAGAAAAUAAAGAGAAAUAAAAGAGGGGCUUGUUUAAGGUUAUUAAAUGGUUAAGGUAGUGGAGAAGCAAAUAUGAUCUCUAAGAUGAUAUGAGGACCUAAAACUCCUUAUGGGAAAUGACUAGAUGCUCCUGCUAGGGAUCUCAAGUUUUUGUGCGAGAACUGCAGAAUACAAUUUUUGCCAGCACCAAAAAUCUUAAGGAGAUCCAACAUACAGUGUGAUUCUUAUUUUAGUUCUUAAGUGUGAUGCAUGGAACAACAAAUAAUUUAUUUUCUUUAGGGACUAAAGGCUAUGAUUAGUGUUACCAUGUUUUAAUCUUUAGUUAACAUAUUAUGUGCAAAGUGCAAUGCCUUAUUCUUUUUCCCUUCAUGAAAUUUGUGUUCUCAUAUAUGUUUUCUUUCAUGGGCUUGAGCUCAUUUUUUGGGCUAUUUGAUUUUGAAAUGUAUUUGUGUUACAUGGACUCUAACAUUCAGACUUAGAAAUCAUGUCAGAUACAUAUUCACUUGACAAUGAUUCAAAGGCUUAUAGAACUCUUUAAUUUUACCAUUACAAUAUCUAAAGGCUUUAGAACUAUAACAAUUGGUUCUUUUUAUGUUUGUAAGGCUUAAUGUUCAAAAAGCAGCCAUAGUUAUGUGGAAGAUCAAGGUCUAUCUUGGUGCUCAUGACAUAUGUGGCUGCAUAUGUGUUCAACUAAAAAUUUAAGAUAAUAUUUAAUUAAGUAUAUAUAAAGAAUUAUACAAUCAAAUAUAAAGUAUUAAUAGGUAAACAUAUGAUAAGGCCAAAUUAGAAAAUAUUAUGCUAUGACAUUGACAUUCACUUAAGAACCGAUUAAAAUGAUGAAUUAUAGGAAAUGAGUAAAAGUAUAAAUUAUGAAUAUCAUCUAAUUAUGGAUCACUUAUAACAUUAGCCAAAAAUUAUAGUAUUAACCAAAAUGAUACUUAUUAGGUGGAAAUAUAUACCACAUAUGUGAUUUCAUUUUCAUACUUAUACCAGCCUCACAUUCAUGAUAGGUUUCACAUUAUAACAAUAAUGCCACAUACCCUUAUGUGAGGCAUUCAUAUAACCACAAAGGUAUAUGGAGUUGUGUCUACUGCUAGAUAGACCACAUUUUGGAAUAUUGUUCAGUGGCUUAGGCUUCUGUUGCACUUCCAGUAUUUGAUUUUUCACAAAAUUGCAACAUAAGUAUUAUGAUUUUUUUUUUCUUCUCCUGUUUGUUUCCAUAUAUCUUUUCUCUUCUCCUUGCCAAGUAGAACAUUUGGACCCCCAUCCAUAUCAUAUUAUUGUUCCUCUGUCCUUUCAACACUGUGUAUAAGAAGAACCUUUAACAUACCUGCCCCAAAGAUGAAAAUUAAAGGGUGGAUUUGGGUGCAGCUCAGAAGCAGAACAGAAACAUGGUAGUUUCCUUCAAAAAGCUUAAAAAAUUUUCAAACACUAGAAGUAGAUUAAAUGCUGGUUCAUAACCAAACCAAGAUGCAUUUACCAUUACAAAUUUACUUGUAGAGGGAUCAAAUUGUCAAGACUUGAGCAAUCAAUCACCUUACUAUGCUCUGAGCGUGAUGGAUGAAAGGAGAAGCUAACCAUCAAGGGAGUGAUGGAAUCGAGAUGCUAGAGAGGGUGACUCCAAUGGAGAAGAAGUUUAGGAACCUACAAGGUAGAUGGAAUUCCAGAUGCCAAAAGUCAGUGCUCUUUCACAUUUUUUCUAUUCGUUGCAAGUAUACAUGUGAAAUUGGAUAAUAUGAUCUAGCUUUUCCUGCUAUCCUUCAGUGCUGAUUUGGUUGUGUGUCAAUCACGUUCUUGCUCGGGUCAAAAAUUGAAGUAGAGAAAGGUGCCUUUUCUCAUUAAGACAUGGACAGAGAGGAAGCAUAUGGUGAAAGAAAGGAAGUGGUUCUCAAGACAGAUUUUUUGAGUUCUAGCGCCCAAAUGGAUGUGUGAGGGGUAGGAUGUGGCCACCAGCUAAAAAGUGGCAAUGCCAUUGGUGGUUUCUGGCUUUCUGCCAUCACCAAGCUACAGGGAAAGGAAGUGUUAUGCGCCCAUUAUCUUUCAGAAUAUUGGAGGAGUUGAGGCUGUCAGCAAGUGACCAGAGAACAAAUCAUAACCAUUUCUUUCAGGCUUCAGCUCUCCUGAUUCUUGCCCUGCCCAAGCCCGCUGUUUCACCAAGAAGGCCUCUAUGAGUUGGGGAGUGCUGCUCAUGAACAAGAGCCAAGAUAGAUUUUCCAACUCCAAGAUUGACAGGAAGGGUUAUUCAAGUGCUGCUGAAUCCACUGGAUAUGGAAUUUAACCCUAUGGGCAGACUAAUUUCACCAGAUCCAACAAAAGCACAAUGAUGGUGCCAACUUGGAGGAUAAUGUGGUGCAGGACCACCUGAUCCUAGUCAGAGAUAAGUACAGAUCAAAAGAAUCUCAAAGGUGGAUCAUUUGAUGAUUUUGUUCUCCCCCAUCAAUGUCUAAGUGAAAGAAACAAGCGCACAACCAGUCUCGAGAUGGAAUUAUUGCCAUGCAAAUCUGCUUGUUGCAACAACCACCGUUGAAUCCCUGCUGACAAAUUCAUCUCAUUCGUGCUUUUGCAAAUGUGAUGGUGAGGUUUCACCUCUGUCAUCCAAAUGAACAUGAGAUCGCAUGGCCUUUUCUCCAUCACCAAUAAGACGGACAUCUAAAGUUCGCAUGGGGAACAGAGUUUCUUGUUGUAUUGGAAUGAAAUCGCUCCUGUACUCGAUGAGACCUCUGGAAAGUUACAUCCAAUUGACAUUUGCAGGGAUAUAUGGAACUCAGUUCGGAUAGUAUUUGCUACAACAAACA